CCUACGGGAGACUGCAGUGAGGAAUAUUGGUCAAUGGCCGCAGGGCUGAACCAGCCAAGUCGCGUGAGGGAUGACGGUCCUAUGGAUUGUAAACCUCUUUUGUCAGGGAGCAAAGGGCGCCACGUGUGGCGCUUUGCGAGUACCUGAAGAAAAAGCAUCGGCUAACUCCGUGCCAGCAGCCGCGGUAAUACGGAGGAUGCGAGCGUUAUCCGGAUUUAUUGGGGUUAAAGGGUGCGCAGGCGGAAUGUCAAGUCAGCGGUAAAAUUUCGGGGCUCAACCCCGUCGUGCCGUUGAAACUGGCGUUCUUGAGUGAGCGAGAAGUAUGCGGAAUGCGUGGUGUAGCGGUGAAAUGCAUAGAUAUCACGCAGAACUCCGAUUGCGAAGGCAGCAUACCGGCGCUCAACUGACGCUCAUGCACGAAAGCGUGGGUAUCGAACAGGAUUAGAUACCCUGGUAGUC
rnacentral:rRNA from 1 species